UACGAAGGGGGCUAGCGUUGCUCGGAAUCACUGGGCGUAAAGCGCACGUAGGCGGCUUUUUAAGUCAGGGGUGAAAUCCUGGAGCUCAACUCCAGAACUGCCUUUGAUACUGAGAGGCUUGAGUCCGGGAGAGGUGAGUGGAACUGCGAGUGUAGAGGUGAAAUUCGUAGAUAUCUGGAGGAAUACCGGUGGCGAAGGCGGCAUCCUGGACCAUUACUGACGCUGAGGCGCGAAAGCUAGGGGAGCAAACGGG
rnacentral:rRNA from 1 species